rnacentral:rRNA from 1 species
GAUCCUGGCUCAGGAUGAACGCUAGCUACAGGCUUAACACAUGCAAGUCGAGGGGCAGCAUUUCAGUUUGCUUGCAAACUGGAGGUGGCGACCGGCGCACGGGUGAGUAACACGUAUCCAACCUGCCGAUAACUCGGGGAUAGCCUUUCGAAAGAAAGAUUAAUACCCGAUGGUAUAAUCAGACCGCAUGGUCUUGUUAUUAAAGAAUUUCGGUUAUCGAUGGGGAUGCGUUCCGUUAGGCAGUUGG